ensembl:snoRNA
ACCCUCUGAUUCCCUUUCCCAUCUGAUUUGAACACUGGUCUUGGUGGUAGUUAAAGGAGGAAAAGGAACAAUAACAAUAUGGGCAUUAGGGUAUAUAGACNGGAACAAUAAAUUUGGCGUCCCAGUGCUUAUAGACUGGUAUAUAGCUUGUGGGCUGUUUCAAACAAGG